AUUGAACGCUGGCGGCAGGCUUAACACAUGCAAGUCGAGCGAGCGGCGGACGGGUGAGUAAUGUCUGGGAAACUGCCUGAUGGAGGGGGAUAACUACUGGAAACGGUAGCUAAUACCGCAUACCAUCAGAUGUGCCCAGAUGGGAUUAGCUAGUUGGUGGGGUAAUGGCUCACUAGGGCGACGAUCCCUAGCUGGGCCGAGAGGAGGACCAGCCACACGGGAACAUGGACACGUUCCAGAAUCCUACGGGAGGCAGCAGGAGGGAAUAUUGCACAAUGGGCGCAAGCCUGAUGCAGCGAUGCGGCGUGUGGGAAGAAGGCUGUCGGGUUGUAAAGCAAUUUCAGCGAGGAGGCGUUACUCGCAGAAGAAGCACCGGCUAACUCCGUGCCAGCAGCCGCGGUAAUAC
rnacentral:rRNA from 1 species